AAAGAAGGAAUGAAUGUAACCUGAUUUUGAGAGACUCGUAAUCCUCCCAAGUGGCUUGAUUUGGGACUGCUUUAUCCCAUUGAACUAGCACCUGUGCGAUGGCCUUGUUCCCUUUCUAUAUCAGUUUUCUAUUGAGAAUUUGUUGGGGUUGAGGACAAUACGGGCUGGACAUAUCUAUUACUUGUGGAUGGGAAAUUAUGUCAGGUAGUUUAUAGCAUGGUUUCAACUGUGAUAUAUGGUGUAGUAGGAUCAAAUGGGCAUGUACAGCUUGGAGAAGCGAGUUCUCGAGAGUGUCACUUGUCUGUAAGAUUGUAUCUUGAGGUAAACCCAAUCCCCCUCUUUAUAUUGUCUAUCGUUUCUAUGUUCAUUAGCUUGGUCAUUCAUUUCUGCUGUGCCCUCUACAAGUGGUACUGCAACAGCUGGUACUAGAAUUCCAUUAUUAACAGGCUUUUGUCUACUUCUUCUAUAACUGAAUCACCUUCCAUGUAAGGUAAGUGAAAUGGUGAGGGUUGGCCAUAAAGGCCCAGUCUGAAUUGAGGAAUGAAAUGUGGUGUUAUACCACCACUCAGCUGCUACUAAGUAAGAAAGCUAACCCUUUUGAGAGUUAGAACAAAAACACCUAAGGUAGGUCUGUACAUCAGACUGUGGAUGGUAUGCUGUAGAAGUGCUAAGUGUGACACCACUCAUAGAGAAAAACUCAUGCGACAGUUUGCUAGUGAAUAUGGUAUUCCUAUCUCUCACUAUGUCCUCUAGCAUGCCAUGCAGCCUGAAAACAUGUUCCAUAAACAACCUUGCAAUGUCAGUAACAGUAUAAGGGUGAGCCACACCUAUGAAUUGAUGAUACUUGGUUAACCUCUCUACCAUCACUCAUAUCAUUGUCUUCCCCUUAGCUUUUGGCAACUGCUCAAUGAAAUCUAUGCUUAUACUACUCUAAGCCAGUGAGGGUAUUUUAAGUGGUUGCAACAAUCUUGGGUAAGACACUUUCUCAUACUUGUGUCUCUGAAAGAUGUUACACUUCUUGAAAUAUGUUUGAACAUCUUCCUUCAAUCCUCUCCAAUAAAAGAGAGCAACUAUCCUUCUAUAAGUGUGAUCUAUGCGAAAUGCCAGGCGAGUCAUGCAAUAGUUUCAUGAUAUCCUCUCUUAAUUGUUCAUAAAGCCCUAUCACUAACUUUCCAUUUCAUCUUAACUAAUUAUGCACAAAAGAGUACCCCUUAGAUUCUACUCCUUCCUUGUUAAGGUCUUUAAUAAAGUCCAUUAGCUCAACAUCCAACUCCUAGCUCUCCAAAAUCUGACUUAACAAGUCAGUCUUAAUGGUAGAGAGCGAUAAAGCUACCAACUCUACCAUUGGUAAUCUCGAUAGGGAAUCUACCACCUUACUCUCCUUUCACUUUUUGUACUCAAUUAUAAAGUCAUAUUGCAUGAGCUUGGUUAUCCAUUUCAACUGAGACCCUGUGUGCAACUUUUGUUCAAGAAUGAAUUUCAGAUUUUACUACCAUUUUUGUGAGACAUCAUUUAAUAUUUUAACAAAUUAUCCACCAAACAUUAAUAGCAAAAUAAUAUUCAAUAGCAUAUAACCAAGCUGUUCUAGUUAGUCCUUUUUCAUUUCUGUAGUGAUGUGGUACCAGACGAUCAUUUAUAAUAACAUCCAAAUUGUUACGCGGUGCCUUCUUGAGAUCCCUUGGAAGGGUGAUGUAAGGGUAAGCAACUGAUGUCAGUGCAGUUACUAUCUGCCAAUUGAGAUCCCCUCCGUGCACUAGAUGAGAUUGUCAGUGUUGUACAUGAAAACCAAUGUCAAGAGUAAUUGAGAGAAAAUAAAUGAGAAUUGAGAAUGAAAAAAAUCUUGAUUGCAUUAAUGAAAGCUGUUACAGAAAAGCAACAGUGUCGAAGGGGAGAUAUACGAGUACAAAGAAUUAUUUGCUUGCUAGAAAGUUUUAUUGCUUGAUCCCCCAUAAUAGUGCUUAAAAUAAAUAAUCCAAAGUUACAAGACUAGAUCUAACUAAGUUAGAGGAACAUAAUGAAAGUACAUGAAAUAAAAAUACUCUAUAUUUAUAAUGAAAAGGACUUAGCUUUCUACAAGGUAGAAAUGGGUCUAUUGUUAGCACCCUUGUCUUUGGCAUCACAGUAUACGCAUGCGGUGCUAUUAGCAUCAGCCUGCGGUUAGGUGGGGAGGUAUAUCGGUGGGGUGACAAAGGCAUAUGCGCGCUUGUCACAUGGUGUAGCCAAGACCACGGGGCGUCCGUGGUAUUAGGCAUUGGUAAGCUUGCUAGGACUCCACGGGGCACGUCCAAGGGCUGAUGGAGCAUAGCUGGAAAGUAGCCCAUAACAUUCUCCCCCACCCGAGUUGGUGACGUCCUCGGUGCCUUACUUGCAGGAUAAUAAUCAAUUAAGCUCUUGUAGGCUUUGAGAUUUGUUACCCUCUCCCAAGUAUUCUCCUCUACAUCACAACCCUGUUAUUUCACCAAGAACUCUUGGUGAUCUUUCCUUGAGACGUGAAUCACUUGAUCAUCAAGAGUAGCUUCAGAACACCUUUUCCCCAUUGAAUUGGGGCCUCAAAUACUUGGUAUUGUGAGUUGGCUCCGUGAAGGAUCCUCCAUGUCUUCCUGAAAAGGUUUCAGAAGACUAACAUGGAAGACAUGAUGGAUUUUCCACCAUGAUGGGGUAUCCAGCCGGUAUGAAACUUUCCCAAUGCGCCUUUCAAUGGACAGAGGUCAAAUGUAUUUUUGUAAUAGGCAGGGGUCAUGGACCUCUACAAACAAGUAUCACUUUGGAAUUUUGACUAUCACUUUGUCUCAUACUUGGUAUUCAACAAAGUGAUGAUUUUGAUCGACAUGAUUCUUCAUCCAUUUUUGGGAUUUGAGAAAGCUAGCAGCUCGAGGAGAUUUUGACAUGUUUAGUGCAUUCACGGUAUGUGGGAGUAGCAGUUGUUGUCCGGUAAAAAUUUCAAAAGUGCUUUUAUUUACACUAGAUCUCUUUUGUGAAUUGAACACAGUUGAGCAACAUUCAGAAGCUUCACCCAGUCCUUCUGCGAUCCAGUUACAAAGAGAUAUUCCUCCAACAUUCCAUUGAAGCGCUCCAUCUGGACAACAAAUAGCAAAUGAAAACUUGAGCUAUGACUCAGUUUUAACCCAAGGCACUUAAAGAGUUGGGUCCAAAAGUUGCUAGUGAAGCAUGAGUCGUGACCACUAAUAAUGUCUUUAGGAAGGCCCCAAUAUUUGACGACAUGAGAGAAGAAGAGUCGACCUGUAUCCUCUGCUAAGAUAUAUUGUGGAGCUGCUAUAAAGGUAGCAUACUUGGAAAACCGAUCUACCACAACCAACAUAGUUGUGAGAUCUCUAACCUUGGGAAAUCUGAUGAUGAAAUCCAGGGAAACACUUUCCCAAGGUCUCUUUAGGACAGCUAGUGGUUCCAAGAGUCCCUCUUGUGUCAAGCGAUCCGACUUGUCCUUCUUGCAUACUUGACAAGUCUUCACAUACUGAGCGAAAUCAUUAGCCAUUUGAGGCCAAUAAUACGCACAACAUAGUAAUGAAGUGGUGCGGUUUUCACUGGGAUGGUUGGCCCACAAAGUAUCGUGACAUUCCGCCAGAAGAGUCCUUCACAGAUCUCCUCCUUUUGGAACAUAAAUUCGGUUCUCUUUAUCUUUUAAGAAACCAUAUUCCAAGUAGAACUGGCGAGUCUUGACCUUUCGUACCAAAUCAACCAAAUAAUGUGCUACACGAUCCUUAAUGAGUAGAUCAUGUAUCUGGUCUUUGAUAGUGGUGGCUACUUCAUUUCCUCUUAAGGUGGCGAGUAGGCAUAGCGAUGCUAGGUCAGCUCUCCGACUGAACAUAUCAACAACAUGAUUGGUCUUCCCACUUCAAUACUCUAGGUUGAAGUGGAAAUGCGCUAGGAGUUCCUACCACUUGGCCUGGCGACCAUUCAGCUUUGGCUGGGUCAUGAAAUGGCUAACAACGAUGUUGUCUGUCUCGACCAUGAACGAGGUUCCUAGCUGAUAGUGCCUCCAAAGUUGUAAGAAAUGGAAAACAUUUGAUAAUUCUUUCUCUUGGGCGACAUUGCGCCGCUCUGCAUCCUUUGGCUUCCAUCUCUCAUGCACUACAAGAUGCCCUUCUUGUAGCAACACUCCACUAUGGCAUAGUCAGAGGAUCUAUUUUUACCUCGAAUGGCUUGGCCAAGACAUGGAUACUAGACAUAUCCACUUUUAAUGCGUUGAAGGCCUCCGCUCACCUGGGUCCCCAAUCCUAAGGCAUAAUCUUCUUGAGGAGUUAUGUCAAUGGCACUGCGAUGAGGGAGUAAUUUUUCAUAAAUUGUCGAUAGAAGUUGCGUAGUCCAAAAAAUGCCCUUAAGGCGUGGAUAUCCUUAGGCGGUGGCCAACAUGUGAUAGCCUGAAUCUUCUGUUGGUCCAUCUUCAUCCACCCUUUCUCUAUGACACUGAGGAAGUCAAUAAGUUAUUUAGCAAAAGAGCACUUGGACAACUUCACAUAUAGUUUUUGCUCCCGCAAUUGAGGUAAGAUCUUCUGCAAGUACUCUAGGUUUUCUUCAAGUGUUUGGCUAUAUACCACAAUAUCAUCCAAGUAGAUCACCACGAAAUCUCCAAUGUAGCCUCGGAAGACUUGGUUCAUCAUGGUGCAAAAUGUGGCCGGAGCAUUAGUUAAGACGAACGACAUAACCUGGAAGUCAUACGACCCAUAUCUUGUCACACAAGUCGUCUUGUGCUUAUCACCCUUUGCCAUCCGAACUUCCAACCACUUGUCUUCAGGUCUAUCUUGGUGAACACCUUUGCACCACCCAGUCUAUCUAAAAGUUUUCCAUUAGCGGAAUAGUGUACUUAUUCUUCAUGGUUAUUUUGUUUAUAGCCCGAUAAUCCACAAAGAGUCGCAUGCUUACAUCAUGUUUCUUUCUGAAUAGCAUAGGGGACCCAUAUGAGGACUUGGAGGGCACGAUGAUCCAUGUGUCUAGCAUUCCCGUCAACUAUCUCCGAAGCUUGGUAAGUUUAGGUUGUGACAUUCUGUAAUGUGCCUGAAUGGGUGGCAUCACGCCCGUCACCAACUCAAUCUCAUGGUCCACAGUGCGCCUAGGCGGGAGUCUCUUGUGGCAUGACAUCUUCAAACUCUAGUAGCAGCUCCUUCACAGGUACAACAAUAGGACCCAAGGAGCGUUCUAUGUCUUCAAUGUAGAGUGUUUCCAAGAACGUAGGUUCAUAUAUUUUGAACCAUUUCUUCAACUGCAAGGUCGAGAUGUUCUCAACGACCAUCAUUAUGGGCAUGCAGGGCUUCUCCCCUUUUGUUCCUAUCAUCAGUAGCAUGUCUGCAUAUGGUACGGGCAUGGUGUUUGUUUGCAAUAGGAAUUCCAGUCGGCAUAUCAACUCAAAGUCAUCUGUGAUCACCACUCACAGGUUGAAUUUUCCUUUGUAAGGGUCAAGCUUCACUGGUACCUCUUUGGAUAUCCACCCACUGGUUGAGGAGGUGAGUUGAUAGCCUUGACACGACCUCUAAUCUUUCCUACAACUAGGCCAAGGCACUCUAACUGAGUUGAGGCUAAGUGGUUGUGGGUAGCACGCGUAUCUAUGGGAUUGCCAUUUACCUUAAUUUCGACGAACAUUAAGGUCCUCUCUUGUUUAAGAGGAGUCCUCUCAUCCGCCUUCUUUUUCCCUUUAUUGGUGAUUGGAUAUGGGUCCUUCUUCUUACAGAUACUAUCACCGGUUCCCGCUAAGGCAUCAGAAAUAGAGCCAACAAUUGCAUUGAAAGCACCUACUAGUUCCGUCUGGUCCGCAUCAUCUGUGUCGUCAUUUGUCCCAUCAUCAAAAGCUUGAUGGGAGUUUAUCUGUGCAUGUGGGAAUUCAUUAUUCUAAAGUGGUCCACCUCAAUGAAGACAUUCUAAAAAGGGCUUUCUCCCCCCAUCAUUAUUGUUUGACACAACACUAUUGUUGCCUGAAGAGGGAGAUUUAACUUGGUUGCACUCCGAUCUCCCCAACUUCUACUAGGGCCACCAUUGCUAGGCUAUCCCCUUUUGUAUCCCACUCGGGCAGGAGGUUGAGGCCUAUCCUUCUAAGCUUCCACUUGAUAGUCCCAAAGGCAUUCAACUGCUUGGAUCACCUUGGGUAGGGUAUCUAUACCCUUUUUCUUUGUAUCUCCAUACGAGCAUAAGGUUUCAACCCUUCCAAGAAGGUGAAGUGUUUGUCUUUGUCCCCAUGUCACGUAUGUUCAACAUGAGCAUAUAGAAUUUUUGCACAUAGUCCCGUACUAAUUUGGUCUGGCAUAGCUACAGUAGCUUUCUCCUUGUAUUGUAUUCAACAUUUUCGGGGAAGAACUGUAGGUGUUUGUAUGCCGUUAGUUCUGCCUGUGUCUCGAGAAAUUCUUUACUGGCCUUGUACUUCACCCGCCACCAGAGUUUAGCAUCAUCUUGAAGAUGCAUGACAGUUGUUGCUACCUUCUUAGCUUCUUUUAGCCCCCCACGACAUUAAAGUACUGUUCGAUGUCAAAGGUGAUGUUUUUUGCUUUUUUGGCAUUCAAGAUCCAUUGUAUUGCUUUGGCUCAGGAAUCUUUUUGUGUUGCGGGAGAGAGGUUCAUAACACCCCCAAAUUUAUUUCCGCCUCCUCAAUGCAGGCUUUGUAAAGUAGCAUUGACAACAUUGAGCUGGCCUGUCAAGUUGUCUAUAGUUUUGUUAGGUUACAAGUACUCUACUUUAUAUUUUUAUGAUCUAACAAACUUACUAUCCAGAACUAGAUAAGGAACCUGUUACAUAUUUACAAGACAUCAAGAUGACGAGAUCCUGGGAUGUGAUUCAAUGGAGAAUAUGAUUCAACUCUUC
rnacentral:lncRNA from 1 species